CUCAAGUAUACCACGAUGGUGAACACCGGUUGAUGAUGUUCCAGAUAAUACAUCACCAAUGAUAAUCAUGUAAACAAUCAUCACGCCAAUGUUGUUUAUGACGACAGAGGCCUGCAGUGCAAUUCUUCCCCACUGUCCGUAAGCCUCACCCAUUAGCCAACCAUAAGAUGUAAUCUUGCCCUGGUGGCUGCACCUGACAAGCAUGUCAAUUGAUGCCUCUGUGAGCAACGCCACAACGAUGAUCAUCAGAAUCCCUGGGAUGAUGCCCAACAUCUUGAUACUGG
rnacentral:misc_RNA from 1 species